AGGUCUUCGGAUGCUGACGAGUGGCGAACGGGUGAGUAAUACAUCGGAACGUGCCUAGUAGUGGGGGAUAACUACUCGAAAGAGUAGCUAAUACCGCAUGAGAUCUACGGAUGAAAGCAGGGGAUCGCAAGACCUUGUGCUACUAGAGCGGCUGAUGGCAGAUUAGGUAGUUGGUGGGAUAAAAGCUUACCAAGCCGACGAUCUGUAGCUGGUCUGAGAGGACGAUCAGCCACACUGGGACUGAGACACGGCCCAGACUCCUACGGGAGGCAGCAGUGGGGAAUUUUGGACAAUGGGCGAAAGCCUGAUCCAGCAAUGCCGCGUGCAGGAUGAAGGCCUUCGGGUUGUAAACUGCUUUUGUACGGAACGAAAAGCUUUGGGUUAAUACCCUGGAGUCAUGACGGUACCGUAAGAAUAAGCACCGGCUAACUACGUGCCAGCAGCCGCGGUAAUACGUAGGGUGCAAGCGUUAAUCGGAAUUACUGGGCGUAAAGCGUGCGCAGGCGGUUUUGUAAGACAGAGGUGAAAUCCCCGGGCUCAACCUGGGAACUGCCUUUGUGACUGCAAGGCUAGAGUACGGCAGAGGGGGGUGGAAUUCCGCGUGUAGCAGUGAAAUGCGUAGAUAUGCGGAGGAACACCGAUGGCGAAGGCAACCCCCUGGGCCUGUACUGACGCU
rnacentral:rRNA from 1 species